UACAGAGAGUGCAAGCGUUAAUCGGAAUUAUUGGGUGUAAAGGGUGUGUAGGUGGAUGAAAAAGUUACAUGUGAAAGCCCUAGGCUCAACCUAGGAAUUGCAUGUAAUACUGCUCAUCUAGAGUAUUGUAGAGGAAAGUAGAAUUUCCGGUGUAGCGGUGAAAUGCGUAGAUAUCGGAAGGAAUACCAGAGGCGAAGGCGGCUUUCUGGACAAUUACUGACACUGAGACACGAAAGCGUGGGGAGCAAACAGG
rnacentral:rRNA from 1 species